UUUUUGGUUCUUUAGGGGAAGGAUAAAGUUGUAACCCAAGGUUUCCGUAGGUGAACCUGCGGAAGGAUCAUUA
rnacentral:rRNA from 1 species